GCCGCUGGGGCCGGGGGAGGAGGACCAGGAGGACGAAGGGCCCACAGGGAUGGAGCGACGGUGACAGGCCUGGCUCAGGAAAGAAGGAGUUCAUUGGAACCCAACCCAUUGCGAAUCCUGUCUGGCCGAUGAUCAAAAAUAAUCCAGAAUCCAACUGCUUCUCACAUCUCCACCCACCUCCCUUACCUGGGCCGCCAUCAUCUCUUGUCCGGACAAAUGCGGUCGCUCCUGACUGGCCUCCCCGCUCCUGCCCGCCACCCUGCAGUCUGGCCCCGUCACCUCGGAUCAGAAUGAACAACAAUACAUGUCCACUUAUGAAAGUCUGAAAAAUGCAGAAAAGUCAAAAUAAGGAAGAAAAAUCACCACCCACAGCCUCACCGCCCAGAGACAAUCAUUGUUCAGGUUUGAUGUAUUUCCUUCCAUAGUGUUUUGUUUGGGGACUUUUUUAAAAACAUG